rnacentral:rRNA from 1 species
UUAAACGGCCGCGGUAUUUUGACCGUGCGAAGGUAGCAUAAUCAAUUGUCUUAUAAUUGAAGACUGGAAUGAAUGGUUGAACGAAAUUAAAACUGUUUCAUUUAUAUUAAUUAGAAAUUGAUUUUUAAAUGAAGAGAUUUAAAUUUAAUUAAUAGACAAAAAGACCCUAUUGAGCUUUAAAUAACUUUAAAAUUAAAAAUUUAUUAUUAUAGAUUUAAAUUUUAAAUGUUUUUUGGUUGGGGCGACUAAGGAACAGGUGAAGCUUCCUUUAUUUGUUAGAUUGAUGGAUUUUGAUCCAGUAUUAAACUGAUUAAUAAAAAUAGUUACCAUAGGGAUAACAGCAUAAUCUUCUUGGAGAGUUCUUAUCAAAAGGGGGGGUUGUGACCUCGAUGUUGGAUUAAAAUAUCCUAAAGGUGUAGAGGCUUUUAAGGGUUGG